rnacentral:tRNA from 1 species
GGGAAUGUGGCUUAGUGGUAGAGUGCUUGCCUGGCAUGCAUGAAGUCCUAGGUUUGAUUCCUUGGUACCA